rnacentral:rRNA from 1 species
GACGAACGCUGGCGGCGUGCUUAACACAUGCAAGUCGAACGGAAAGGCCCUGCUUUUGUGGGGUGCUCGAGUGGCGAACGGGUGAGUAACACGUGAGUAACCUGCCCUUGACUUUGGGAUAACUUCAGGAAACUGGGGCUAAUACCGGAUAGGAGCUCCUGCUGCAUGGUGGGGGUUGGAAAGUUUCGGCGGUUGGGGAUGGACUCGCGGCUUAUCAGCUGGUUGGUGGGGUAGUGGCUUACCAAGGCUUUGACGGGUAGCCGGCCUGAGAGGGUGACCGGCCACAUUGGGACUGCGAUACGGCCCAGACUCGUACGGGAGGCAGCAGUGGGGAAUAUUGCACAAUGGGCGGAAGCCUGAUGCAGCAACGCCGCGUGCGGGAUGACGGCCUUCGGGUUGUAAACCGCUUUCGCCUGUGACGAAGCGUGAGUGACGGUAAUGGGUAAAGAAGCACCGGCUAACUACGUG